rfam:Fukomys damarensis contig126093, whole genome shotgun sequence.
CAAAAGGCUUUAUUUGAAGCCAUUAAUUAUUCUGUAAUGUCUUCAU